rnacentral:antisense_RNA from 1 species
GUUCUGGGCUUCUGGCUGCAUUCUAGGAAGAUCAUUCCUUAAAAGAAAUAGCCAUAUGGCUUAUAAGGCUGCAGUGCAAUGGUGCGAUCUCGGCUCACUGCGACCUCUGCCUCCCGGGUUCAAGUGAUUCUUCUGCCUCAGCCUCCCAAGUAGCUGGGAUUACAGUGUUCUUUCCUGUAUGAAGCCCAAGCUGUCCACUUGGAGAGACAUCUGGCCAGCCCCCCGUUGUUCCAGCCAUCCCCAGUUCAGGCACCAGACGUGGUGAAGAAGCCAUCCUAGAUGCCCAGCCCCAGCUACCAUCUGAUGCAACCACACUGCUCACCUCGAGUGAGAACUGCCUGCAGGAGCCUAGUAUUAUCCUCUCUCACAGAACCAUGGCAGGGAAUAAU